CCUACGGGAGGCAGCAGUGAGGAAUAUUGGUCAAUGGGCGCGAGCCUGAACCAGCCAAGUAGCGUGAAGGAUGACUGCCCUACGGGUUGUAAACUUCUUUUAUAAAGGAAUAAAGUGAGGCACGUGUGCCUUUUUGUAUGUACGUUAUGAAUAAGGAUAGGCUAACUCCGUGCCAGCAGCCGCGGUAAUACGGAGGAUCCGAGCGUUAUCCGGAUUUAGUGGGUGUAGAGGGAGCGUAGAUGGGGUGUUAAGUCAGUUGUGAAAGGUUGCGGCUCAACCGUAAAAUUGCAAUUGAUACUGGCAGCGUUGAGGACAGUUGAGGUAGGCGGAAUUCGUGGUGUAGCGGUGAAAUGCUUAGAUAUCACGAAGAACUCCGAUUGCGAAGGCAGCUUACUAAACUGCCACUGACAUUGAUGCUCGAAAGUGUGGGUAUCAAACAGGAUUAGAUACCCUGGUAGUC
rnacentral:rRNA from 1 species